GCCCGCGCGCCCCGCUGGGGGGCGUGUCUUCCAGCGGCUCCGCCCUGCCCGCGCGCCUGUCCGCUCGGGGUCUGGUGAGGCGGCGGGAGCCAAUAGGAGGAGGGCGGCCCAUAUGACGUGCGCACACGCCACCGGGGGGGUGGGGCUGGUGCCCGGCACGCGCGCUUCAAGGGAGUGCGCGCUGCACGGGCCGGCACCAGGGCAGACAGGACAGGUCAUACGGUCCGGCGGUGCUCUGCCAUGCCCUGCAGUGCGCUGCCCGACCUCGUUUUCUGAAAGAAUGCGGACACCCGCAGGUCCUCUCCUUCCCCCAGGGUCCGUGCGCAAACCCCUCUUCGUGCUCUAAAGACCCGGGAUCCCUAGGGCCGAGCACCUCGUUGGCCAGGCGACAGGUGGUCUGUAGGUUCACCACCCGGUACGGAGCGCCCCCUAGCAAAGAACCCACCGGCUAAAGCCACAGGGCUUGUGACCAGGCCUGAAAGGGCACCAUGUGACCUUAGACAUGCUGAUUGCAGAGCUCCCAUCUACUUACGAUUGCCUGGAGACCACGCAGGCAAGGUAUAUGUAUGCCUGGUGCCUAGGGAAGACAAGGCCAGAAGGUAUUGGAUCUGCUGGAAGUGGAGUUAUAUAUGGUUGUGAGCCACCGUGUGGGUGGUGGGAACCAAACCCAGGACCUCUGCACAAACGGCCAGUGCUCUUCACCACCAAGCCUUCGAACCAUCUCUCUAGCCCCUCUUUAACCUUUUUUAAGAUACCAAAAGCCCAACUAAUAUAUACAUAUGUAUAUGUGUAUGUAUACAUACAUACAUACAUACAUAUAUAUAUAUGGCUCAUUACUGCCCUCAAGAAGAGCACUCAGUUACACAGUUGCAUGUGGGGUGCAUGCCUGUGAUCCCAGAAUUUGGGAGAUGGAGACAGGUGGAUCAGGAGUUUAAGAUCAUCCUCAGCUGCCUGGCACCCUGGGCUUGGGCUGCAUGAGACCCCAAGUCAACCAAAAGAAGGAGGUAGAGUCACACUGACUUGUUCGCUUUGUAGCAGGUACUUAUGCAAGGCAGAGGAACUCUUCUUUCCUUCCUUCCCCAAAGGGACCGAGUUCGAGAAAACAGAGCUUCUCACACAAGCCAGGAGAGUCCAAGGUUUCUUAAAGGGAGACAACACUGGCUAGAGCUCUGUAAGUUAAAUGAAGCCUGAGAUUUAGGAACCAGCAGAAAGAGACGUUUCUAAGUUGUAAGAAAGAGACAGUUCUGGGAACAAAGAUCAUCUUCAGAGAGACUUUCUCAACCAAGGAAGUCUUGUAAGAUCAGUGAGCAGUGGAGGCGGAAGCGAGCAGGUGAGACGUGUGUGCUGUAUUCGACUCUAUCACCCCAUGUCAGGGUGAGGUAAUUUUUCAGGGAAAAGGAAGCAGGUUUAAUGCCACUAAUUUAACAAACUCAUCAGAAAUGUGGUGGAGGUAGAGAGGGCCGCCCACCCUUGGAGACCAGCCGGACUAGUCUCGGACUUCAGUGCCCUCCUUUCUUUGGAGAGAAAGCCCAGACAGCAUCUGUCCUUGUUAGAGAUGUGAACUGAAUCCGUGUUUCAACUGAGAGGCUGUCCAAAGGAGUCAUGUGCAGUCCCGUGUGCUCUGCUGGGAUGCUUGUACUUUCUCUGUCCACAGAGUACAUGCUUCUGGUGUGUUCCCUGUACUGCAUGCAGAACAUUCCUGGCCCAUUUACUGCAUCAUGAAUGACUUUCCUGGGCUUGUUCAGGACUCUGAUGUCUCUGAUGGUCUACCUUUCCCUUUGCCAGUUGGCAGCUGCUGAUUUGUGACAUAACUUCUAGAACCCAGACAAUAUUCUCAGUACCUUGCUGGCCAUUUAAAGACCCGAGUACCAUGGUUUUAAGAACAGAAUUUGGGGGGCUAUGGCGAUGGCUCAGUUGACAGAUUGUUUGCUUUGCAAGCAAGCAUGAGGACCUGAGUGUAGAUUCCAGGUACCCAUGUAAAAAGUCAGGCAUGGUGAGGUGUGUCUGGAGGUGAAAUCAGGAAAGCUCAGCUUGAUCAGUGAACUCAGCGAGAGAUCCUGUCUCAACAAAAUAAUGUGGAGAGUGAUUGAGAAAGACACUUGAAGUUCGCCUCCAGCUUCCACAUGCGCGUGCAUACCUGUACACCUCCACGAAUACGUACAUAUAUAAACAUGAAACCACAAACUGAACAUACGCAUCACAGGAAGGGUAGAGCUUUUUGGCUGCAAGAGGGCGAGAUGGUCCCUGGCCCCAUAAACACUAUUCUGUUUCUGAUACUCCAUCCAAUUGCACAUGGGUUUCAAAGCUGGUUUCAGAAACACAUUGCCUUCAGGGAUGGGCUUCACGGGUGCUUUGUUGGGAUGCUGACACCUUCUGGUUUCCCCCAUGGGGACUGUCAUACCUGUUGUGAGAGGUGCCAGAUGGGCCACUGUGGUGGUAUACACCUUUAAUCCCAAUGCCUGGGAGACGGAGGUAGUUUGACCUUUGUGACUUCAAGGAGCAGAGGCAGAUUGACCUCUGUGACUUCA